UGGGGAAUCUUCCGCAAUGGGCGAAAGCCUGACGGAGCAACGCCGCGUGAGUGAAGACGGCCUUCGGGUUGUAAAACUCUGUGAUUCGGGACGAAAGAUAAGUAGACGAAUAAUCUGCAUAAGUGACGGUACCGAAAAAGCAAGCCACGGCUAACUACGUGCCAGCAGCCGCGGUAAUACGUAGGUGGCAAGCGUUGUCCGGAAUUAUUGGGCGUAAAGCGCGCGCAGGCGGCUACUUAAGUCCAUCUUAAAAGUGCGGGGCUUAACCCCGUGAUGGGAUGGAAACUGAGAAGCUGGAGUGUCGGAGAGGAAAGUGGAAUUCCUAGUGUAGCGGUGAAAUGCGUAGAGAUUAGGAAGAACACCGGUGGCGAAGGCGACUUUCUGGACGACAACUGACGCUUAGGCGCGAAAGCGUGGGGAGCGAACAGG
rnacentral:rRNA from 1 species